rnacentral:tRNA from 1 species
GGGGUUAUAGUUCAGUUGGGAGAACGCUUGCAUGGCAUGCAAGAGGUCGUCGGUUCGAGUCCGAUUAACUCCA